GAAUUAAUCCAAAAAAAUUGUAAAUUAAUCAAUGCAUUGAAAUUUAGAUGAAUCUCUGAGCAAAGAACGCACCAAUUUGCAAAACGGCCGGGUGCGGCCUUUUUUUUGUCGCUGGGUGUACUUUUAUGCAGAUGUCAAGCUUUUUAAAUUCCACAUUCGACGCACAUCUUGCCUUACUCGCCGACAGUUGCCUCCGCCUGGUUGAGCAACUCCCAAGCCAAAGACCGUGCGCAAGGAAUAUAUAGGUACCCUACAAGUCCCGUUUUUGUCAGACUGGACGUUGGGCAAACUGGGCAAGGAAACCGUCGUUCAGGAAUGGAAAUUUAAACGUAUCACCGAUCUGCGCCAAUUGCAUCUCAAUGGACACUUUGAGUGUGCCUAUAAGCUGACCAAUCAAUUUGGCUAUUAAUUCGCCAGCAAAUACAGUGGGCCGUUGGAAGCCCGCUGGCUAACUGGAUAAAUCAACUUGUCGCAGCGCCUUAGACCAUUUCAAUGUCGUUUAGAUCGAGUUGUGGACAAAACGAAUUUCGUUGAAUUGCAAGCGCUAUAGAGCGAAAAUCUUGGAGACUUCCAUGACCCAGGAGCAGGCACAUUUAUUGCACAAUUUAAGCCGUUGCCAACAGAAGCAGGAGGAACCGCGAAUAAGUGUUUAUAUUGUAAGCAAAAGAUUGUCCAAUAAGUACCUAUAGUUAAAAGCUUCUUAAAAUAGCAGCAAACAAAUUUGCAAUAAAGGUAAGACGACAUCAGUUGUUAAAUGAAGGCUGACGCAAUGUCAACAA